rnacentral:lncRNA from 1 species
CUCUUAGCCAGUUCUAAUUUUUGUUCAGGUGGAAGAUGGAUGCCUGAAGUGUAGACUGCUGCUAGCUGAAUACCAUCUGGGAGCAUAAAGGUGACCUGAAGGAUGUCCUUGGUGAGGAUUUUGAAAAUUUGAUCUUCACAAGAGUUGCCUGGAUCAUUUGAAAUUUCUGGGAGUCUGAGGAGUACUGACAUAAUUACCUGCUGGAGUCUGUAAAUACACAUUUAAGACAGUGAGGAUGUGAAUAAAUAUAUUAAUGCACUUUGGCA